AACAUCAAAUUUGGGAUGGGCACCAGUCUCAUUGUUACUUCAAAAGAGACAAAAGAACCAGUCUACUACAGACAUAACGGAUCAUGUCUGGCAACUGACUUCACGAACCAUAAAGAUGUACCAAGCGUUUUUACACCAGUGCGAUAUACAGGCAAAACCUAUGAAAAGUACUACAGCAGCUUUGCCUUUAAAGUUGAAGAUAAAGUCUGCAGUGAAAAAGAUUCAGAGUGUAAAGGUGAAUCAUCUGGUCAAAGUGACAUGGAAUUAGAUGAAAAAAUCAACUUCGUGUCACUGGGGCUCUUUUGGCUAAGAAUUCUCCUUCUGAAGACUGUUGUGUUCAACAUCCUGAUGACUUUCAAAGCGUGGAUGAGCUAACGUCUCACAAAUCCAACAGUCGUUCUUCAUCAGUUGGAUUUAUCACAGUUCCUUCACCGAAGACAACAGAAAAAGCUCACAUUUGACCACAUUCGAGAGCCGUUAGAUCUGCACCGUUGUUGUUAAAUGUUGAUCAAGGGAUUAUGUAACCUCCCUCAGUUAUGCUAUAGUGCUUAUGGUUUUAAGAAUAAUAUACUGUCUACACAUUUGAAUGUAAUGUGUUUAUAUGCUUUUACUGUAUAAUAUGGGCUCAACUAUUCUAGGUUAGGAUACAAUAGAAGUAUAUGCCACCAUUUAGUUGUUUCUAAUUUAGCAACUUAGACUUAGUUUGUUUAAUUUCUCUUUAUUUUAAUGAUUUCUACAUUUAUUACCUGUUAUUUUGUAAAAUUUAUUUUUAAAUUACUUUGAAGCUGGAUUACAUCUGAAGAAUUCUGUCUACAUAGCUUUCAUUUUUUGCAACAUAUUUACAUACACAAUUAAGUUGACUUGUGCUUCCUUCUACAAUGGCAGACUUUCAUUUAAUAAUCACUGUAUUGUGCAAAUCAUAUGAAAAUAAAAUGCAUAAAUGAUCAA